GGUUAAACUUCUCGAACUUGUCUUUUUAAAUAAUUGACUUAGUAUUUAUGAUUCAGUGGUUUGCUUUAAUUGAAUAAAAGUGAUUUUGUGAUUGUAAUAAAAGAUUUAUGGAUUUUUUAUGAAAUGAAAACGGUUUUCUACCCCUCGUGGUAGCGUGUUUUAAAAGAAAAGAGUUUUUGUGUGGGAAACGAUUUUAAAAAGACUUUUUCUUGAUUUUCAUGAUCCUUAGUGUUUCAAAAUGAAUUUCCGGAUAGGAAACGUUUUAAACUAAUAGCUGUGAAUUUAUAUCUAUCUGUGAUGGAAUAAAGUGGUAAUUGUGAUGUGGUUUACGUAUGUGGAUGUUCAUACCGUUAUGGUUAUAUCUUGUACAUGUGCAACGCAGUGCAAAUAAAGGAAAGACUAUGUCCAUGUGAACGGUGGAUUUUCUAUACUUGUGACGGAUUUGACAUACUCUGGAGUCAAGAUUUUUUUUUAAAAAAAAUGGGCACUUGCGCAUUGAUUUUAAAUGUAAAAAAGAAUCUCGGGGCGUCACAAUAAACCAACCGGAAGGGCGUAUAUUCUAUGUUUUAUGUUCCGAUUGGUCUAUUCUAUGUUUUAUGUUCAAAGAAGGAAAAAGAAAAUUAAAGGACGGUGAGACGGAGGAGAACUUGCCGCAAAAGGACAUAAAAUGAAGCAGACCUAUGUACUAUGCUCACGUGAUUACCUACAGCCAUAUUGAUCUUUAUAAAGACUUAAAUAGUGCAUCACGCUUUUGCAAAUUAAGCUAGUGCCACAUAAUUUGCGACGUUUAUUGGCUGUACCACAUCCCUCGCUCUCGCAAUCGUGAAGGACGGUCGACCAACAAGCAAAUAGAUCACUUUGGCAGCCCAAAUUACACGUAUUGCAACUGGUCCAUGCCUCUUACUUUGACAGCAAAUAGACUACUUUGGCUACACCACUCCCCUCUCUCUCUCUCUCUCUCUCGCUCUCUCUCUUGUGAAGGACGGUGGACCAGCAAGCAAAUAGACUAGUUAAUUUGACAGCCCAAAUUAAUUACAAAGUGUCGCAACUAGUCCAUGCCUAAGCUACUUUGACAGCAAAUAGACUAACUUUGGCUACACCACAUCCCUACGGACCUAACAAAUACUAGUGCAGGCCCCAACUUUCACAGCGGAUUUACGUAUUUUAAUCAAUUAAAAUAUAUAAUUAUUAAACUUGUAAGAUUAAUAAAUUAUAACUAAGUACAAAUAUUAUCAAAUAGUGUUAUAUACACUACAAAAAAUAACUCGUUUAUUUACUAAUAUUUUCUUAAUUUUUGAAUAGUUACAUUAUUCUAACGAUUUUAUUUAAAAUUUAAUCAGAUUUAAGGGCGCGUUUGGUUCGAAGUCGGAAUCAGAAUCAUAAUCAAAAUCGAAAUAAGCUAGAAUCGGAAUUGGAAUGACUCAUUGCCUAAUUCUGUUUGAUUUGUUACCUGAAUCGAAAUCGGAAUAAAUCAUUCUCAUUGUCGGUGUUUGAUUCAGGUAGCUAUAAAAAACGUAAUCAAAUUAAUAUACUAACUUUAUCUUUCUAAUAUAUUAAUUUAAAUUCAAAUUUAAAAUUAAAUAUUAAAAAUUUAGAUCAAAAUUUUGAAAUAAUGUCAAAAUUUUAAAUUUGUUUUUUUUUAAAAAAAUUAAACUUUGAAGUUGAGUGGAUAAUUCAAAAUAUAAAACUAAAUUUUGAUUUAUUCAAAUUCAAAUUUAAAAUUACAAUUUAAAUUUUAAUUUGAAUCCAUAAAUUUAAUUUAAGUUUUAAAUAAAAUUUGAAUAAAACUUUAUAUAAAUUAAAAUUUAAUUUAAAUUCAAAUUUAUAAGUUAAUUUCAAAAUACUUGAUUAAAUUUUAAUUUUUAAUUCAAAUUCAAAUUAAAAUUUAAAAUUAUAAAUUUAAUUUGUAAAUUUAAACUCAUAUUUUAAUUAAAAAAAGUUGAAAAAAUAAAUUUAAUCCGAAUAAAUAUCCAUUCCGGCCGGAUUCAACUUCUGGGGCAUUUCCCAUUCCACUUGGGAAUUGGAAUCGGAAUGGGACUCCCGCAUACCAAACAGUCACAAACGGAUUCACCCAUUCCGAUUCUGAUUCCAGGGUGAAAAAGAAGCGAACCAAACACGCCCUAAAAGUUUUAGAGACCGUUCUAUGAAUAACUUUUUUGAUUAAAAUGUUACAUGCACAUGAUAUAUAUUAACAUUCUAUACACCACAACUUAUAUUAGAUGAUAAAUAUUUUGAUAUCAAAAUUUAAUUAAACAUAUAUGACAUACAAAGUUAAUAAUUUAAAUUCUAUUGAUUAAAUUAGAUUUUCAAAUCUCUAUAAAAGGAUUUUAAAUAUAUGAUAUAUGUACAUGUAUUGUCACGCCCGGGUUCUAGCGGAAGACUAUCCGGUACAUAUACAGACCCGCCAUAUACCUAAAGUAUAUAUGGCGUCUACCAAAACCAUGCUAGAAGAGUAACAAUCAAUAGAAUAGUCUAACAUGGUAUCAUAGCAUAGAAUGUACAAAAUAUAUUAGAAGUACUAAAAGCAAGAGUGUAACAUAUACAAUAUCUACUAAAGACAAUAGGAAACAAGAGUAUACAACUGUAAAUACAACACUCCAACAACACUCAUACAUCACACGGUCACAAAACAGUUAUAUAUACAUGUGGUAGUCUCUAUACACGAGUAAAACAUCACCCUCGUCCACACAACCAAAACAGAGAGGUGAUCACCUAGCAGGACUCCAAGCUAUGCCUAGCUAAACGCGACUCCCUUGCCGCGAUCCCUAACCUCUCCCGCGGUGGAUGGCUCUGUAAAUAAAACAACAACAAAUAGGGCAUGAGAACUAUUAGUCAAUAGUUCCCAG
rnacentral:lncRNA from 1 species